AGGCCUCGCCAGAGACCUAUGUGAUACGUCUUGUGUGCAGCAUAACUUUCGACCAUUCAUGUUUUGUGAAAAUUUAGGCUGGUCACACAAUACGAAGUUCAAUUGCGCGGUGUCGACGACGAGGUGGAGCAAAAGGAGCAGGUCGACGGACGGUUCCGCCUGGUGACGCCGUAUGGGUGAGGCAUUUAACGGGCAGUGUGAUCAGCCAUAUGGUGUCGGCGUGGGUGACACAAGUGAUGUCAGACCAGGCCGUGGAGGCGGACGGGAUACCGCGACAUAUGAGGGACCUGCGGCGCCGCAUAACAUCAGCCAAGGGCGCCGCAAGGGCGAACAAGAAAUCACACGUCACCCCAUCGCAUGGUUUCCCGAAGACAGGAGGAAUUGAUGCACGAAUGUAGCGGAGGCUGACGGAAGCGAGGGCAAAGACGCUACUGUUCGUUUUUGUUCGUAUUGCUUUGUGUGGAAUGAUUUCUAAUAAAUACGAGAGACAAG